GCUGUCUUAGCUCAAUUGGUAGAGCACAUGACUUACAUUCAUGUAGUUGUGGGUUCGAUUCCCACAGAUGGCA